UGAUAUGCUUGUCUCAAAGACUAAGCCAUGCAAGUCUAAGUACAUGCCGAAUUAAGGUGAAACCGCGAAUGGCUCAUUAAAUCAGUUAUGGUUCCUUAGAUCGUACUUUUCUACUUGGAUAACUGUGGCAAUUCUAGAGCUAAUACAUGCAGCAGAGCUCCGACCUUCGGGGACGAGCGCUUUUAUUAGACCAAGACCAAUCGGACCUCGGUCCGUAUACCACGGCGACUCUGGAUAACUUUGGGCUGAUCGCACGAUCUAGCAUCGGCGAUAUUUCUUUCAAGUGUCUGCCUUAUCAACUGUCGAUGGUAGGUUAUGCGCCUACCAUGGUCGUAACGGGUAACGGGGAAUCAGGGUUCGAUUCCGGAGAGGGAGCCUGAGAAACGGCUACCACAUCCAAGGAAGGCAGCAGGCGCGCAAAUUACCCACUCCCGGCACGGGGAGGUAGUGACGAAAAAUAACAAUACGGGACUCUCUUGAGGCCCCGUAAUUGGAAUGAGUACAAUCUAAAUCCUUUAACGAGGAUCUAUUGGAGGGCAAGUCUGGUGCCAGCAGCCGCGGUAAUUCCAGCUCCAAUAGCGUAUAUUAAAGUUGUUGCGGUUAAAAAGCUCGUAGUUGGAUCUCAGUUACAGACAGGCGGUCCACCUUACGGUGGCUACUGCCUGGCCUGAACGUCCUGCCGGUUUUCUCUCGGUGCUCUUCAUUGAGUGUCUUGAGUGGCCGGCACGUUUACUUUGAAAAAAUUAGAGUGCUCAAAGCAGGCGUGACGCCUGAAUAAUGGUGCAUGGAAUAAUGGAAUAGGACCUCGGUUCUAUUGUGUUGGUUUUCGGAACACGAGGUAAUGAUUAAGAGGGACAGACGGGGGCAUUCGUAUUGCGACGCUAGAGGUGAAAUUCUUGGACCGUCGCAAGACGAACUACU
rnacentral:rRNA from 1 species